rnacentral:rRNA from 1 species
UCCUGGCUCAGGAUGAACGCUAGCGGCAGGCUUAACACAUGCAAGUCGAGGGGCAGCGGGAUGUAGCAAUACAUUGCCGGCGACCGGCGGAUGGGUGCGUAACGCGUAUGCAACCUACCUUAUACAGGGGAAUAACCUUUCGAAAGGGAGACUAACACCCCAUAGUAUUGAUUUAAGGCAUCUUAGAUUAAUUAAAUAUUUAUAGGUAUAAGAUGGGCAUGCGUAUGAUUAGCUAGUUGGUAAGGUAACGGCUUACCAAGGCGACGAUCAUUAGGGGUUCUGAGAGGAAGGUCCCCCACACUGGUACUGAGACACGGACCAGACUCCUACGGGAGGCAGCAGUGAGGAAUAUUGGUCAAUGGGCGCAAGCCUGAACCAGCCAUGCCGCGUGCAGGAAGACGGCCUUAUGGGUUGUAAACUGCUUUUACAUAAGACUAACCGUAUAUUUGCGAAUAUACCUGAAUGUAUUAUGAGAAUAAGGAUCGGCUAACUCCGUGCCAGCCGCCGC